UCGGCCACGCUUCCUCCCUGAGCAAACACC
rnacentral:piRNA from 1 species